rnacentral:rRNA from 1 species
UAGGGAAUAUUGGUCAAUGGAGGCAACUCUGAACCAGCCAUGCCGCGUGAAGGAUGAAGGCCCUCUGGGUUGUAAACUUCUUUUCUACGGGAAUAAACCUCGUUACGUGUAAUGAGUUGAAGGUACCGUAGGAAUAAGGAUCGGCUAACUCCGUGCCAGCAGCCGCGGUAAUACGGAGGAUUCUAGCGUUGUCCGGAUUUAUUGGGUUUAAAGGGUGCGUAGGCGGAUGACUAAGUCAGGGGUGAAAGCCGGCAGCUUAACUGUCGAAAUGCCUUUGAAACUGGUCAUCUUGAAUAUAGUUGAGGUAGGCGGAAUGUGACAUGUAGCGGUGAAAUGCUUAGAUAUGUUACAGAACACCGAUUGCGAAGGCAGCUUACUAAACUAUCAUUGACGCUGAGGCACGAAAGCGUGGGGAUCAAACAGG